GGGAAGCGAAACCGCGAGGUAGAGCAAAUCCCCAAAAACGGUACUCAGUUCGGAUUGCAGGCUGCAACUCGCCUGUAUGAAGUCGGAAUCGCUAGUAAUCGCGGAUCAGCAUGCCGCGGUGAAUACGUUCCCGGGCCUUGUACACACCGCCCGUCACACCAUGAGAGUCGGGAACACCCGAAGUCCGUAGCCUAACCGCAAGGAGGGCGCGGCCGAAGGUGGGUUCGAUAAUUGGGGUGAAGUCGUAACAAGGUAUC
rnacentral:rRNA from 1 species